rnacentral:snRNA from 1 species
GUGUUUGCUUUGGCAGCACAUAUACUAAAAUUAGAACGAUACAGAGAAGAUUAGCAUGGCCCCUGCGCAAGAAUAACAUGCAAAUUCAUGAAGUGUUCCAUUUUUUU